ACUGCAGUCGAGCGACAGAAGGGAGCUUGCUCCCGGAUGUUAGCGGCGGACGGGUGAGUAACACGUGGGUAACCUGCCUGUAAGACUGGGAUAACUCCGGGAAACCGGAGCUAAUACCGGAUAGUUCCUUGAACCGCAUGGUUCAAGGAUGAAAGACGGUUUCGGCUGUCACUUACAGAUGGACCCGCGGCGCAUUAGCUAGUUGGUGGGGUAAUGGCUCACCAAGGCGACGAUGCGUAGCCGACCUGAGAGGGUGAUCGGCCACACUGGGACUGAGACACGGCCCAGACUCCUACGGGAGGCAGCAGUAGGGAAUCUUCCGCAAUGGACGAAAGUCUGACGGAGCAACGCCGCGUGAGUGAUGAAGGUUUUCGGAUCGUAAAGCUCUGUUGUUAGGGAAGAACAAGUGCGAGAGUAACUGCUCGCACCUUGACGGUACCUAACCAGAAAGCCACGGCUAACUACGUGCCAGCAGCCGCGGUAAUACGUAGGUGGCAAGCGUUGUCCGGAAUUAUUGGGCGUAAAGGGCUCGCAGGCGGUUUCUUAAGUCUGAUGUGAAAGCCCCCGGCUCAACCGGGGAGGGUCAUUGGAAACUGGGAAACUUGAGUGCAGAAGAGGAGAGUGGAAUUCCACGUGUAGCGGUGAAAUGCGUAGAGAUGUGGAGGAACACCAGUGGCGAAGGCGACUCUCUGGUCUGUAACUGACGCUGAGGAGCGAAAGCGUGGGGAGCGAACAGGAUUAGAUACCCUGGUAGUCCACGCCGUAAACGAUGAGUGCUAAGUGUUAGGGGGUUUCCGCCCCUUAGUGCUGCAGCUAACGCAUUAAGCACUCCGCCUGGGGGAGUACGGUCGCAAGACUGAAACUCAAAGGGAAUUGA
rnacentral:rRNA from 1 species